UACGUAGGUGGCAAGCGUUGUCCGGAUUUACUGGGCGUAAAGAGCGCGCAGGCGGUCGUUCAAGUCGCGUGUGAAAGCCCCCGGCUCAACUGGGGAGGGUCGACGCGAUACUGGUCGACUCGAAGGCAGGAGAGGGUAGUGGAAUUCCCGGUGUAGUGGUGAAAUGCGCAGAUAUCAGGAGGAACACCAGCGGCGAAGGCGGCGCUCUGGGCCGGUACUGACACUGAGGAGCGAAAGCGUGGGGAGCGAACAGG
rnacentral:rRNA from 1 species